AUUGAACGCUGGCGGCAGGCCUAACACAUGCAAGUCGAGCGAGCGGAGGACGGGUGAGUAAUGUAUGGGGACUGCCCGAUAGAGGGGGAUAACUACUGGAAACGGUGGCUAAUACCGCAUACUAACGGAUAACCAAUAUGGGAUUAGCGAGUAGGUGGGGUAAAGGCUGACCUAGGCGACGAUCCCUAGCUGGUAUGAGAGGAUGAGCAGCCACACUGGGACUGAGACACGGCCCAACCUCCUACGGAUGCAGCAGUGGGGAAUAUUGCACAAUGGGCGCAAGCCUGAUGCAGCCAUGCCGCGUGUAUGAAGAAGGCCUUAGGGUUGUAAAGUACUUUCGUCGGGGAGGCGUUACCCGCAGAGGAAGCACCGGCUAACUCCGUGCCAGCAGCCGCGGUAAUAC
rnacentral:rRNA from 1 species